GACGAACGCUGGCGGCGUGCUUAACACAUGCAAGUCGAACGGAAAGGCCCUGCUUGCAGGGUACUCGAGUGGCGAACGGGUGAGUAACACGUGGGUGAUCUGCCCUGCACUUCGGGAUAAGCCUGGGAAACUGGGUCUAAUACCGGAUAGGAGCCAUUUUUAGUGUGAUGGUUGGAAAGUUUUUUCGGUGUAGGAUGAGCUCGCGGCCUAUCAGCUUGUUGGUGGGGUAAUGGCCUACCAAGGCGGCGACGGGUAGCCGGCCUGAGAGGGUGGACGGCCACAUUGGGACUGAGAUACGGCCCAGACUCCUACGGGAGGCAGCAGUGGGGAAUAUUGCACAAGGGGCGCAAGCCUGAUGCAGCGACGCCGCGUGGGGGAUGACGGCCUUCGGGUUGGAAACUCCGUUCGCUAGGGACGAAGCUUUUUGUGACGGUACCUAGAUAAGAAGCACCGGCUAACUACGUG
rnacentral:rRNA from 1 species